rnacentral:rRNA from 1 species
GACGAACGCUGGCGGCGUGCUUAACACAUGCAAGUCGAACGGAAAGGCCCUGCUUGCAGGGUACUCGAGUGGCGAACGGGUGAGUAACACGUGGGUGAUCUGCCCUGCACUUCGGGAUAAGCCUGGGAAACUGGGUCUAAUACCGGAUAGGAGCCAUUUUUAGUGUGAUGGUUGGAAAGUUUUUUCGGUGUUGGAUGAGCUCGCGGGCUAUCAGCUUGUUGGGGGGGUAAUGGCCUACCAAGGCGGCGUCGGGUAGCCGGCCUGAGAGGGUGGCCGGCCACAUUGGGACUGAGAUACGGCCCAGACACCUACGGGAGGCAGCAGUGGGGAAGAUUGCACAAGGGGCGCAGGCCUGAUGCAGCGACGCCGCGUGGGGGAUGACGGCCUUCGGGUUGUAAACUCCUUUCGCUAGGGACGAAGCUUUUUGUGACGGUACCUAGAUAAGAAGCACCGGCUAACUACGUG